GACGAACGCUGGCGGCGUGCUUAACACAUGCAAGUCGAACGGAAAGGCCCUGCUUUUGUGGGGUGCUCGAGUGGCGAACGGGUGAGUAACACGUGAGUAACCUGCCCUUGACUUUGGGAUAACUUCAGGAAACUGGGGCUAAUACCGGAUAGGAGCUCCUGCUGCAUGGUGGGGGUUGGAAAGUUUCGGCGGUUGGGGAUGGACUCGCGGCUUAUCAGCUUGUUGGUGGGGUAGUGGCUUACCAAGGAUUUGACGGGUAGCCGGCCUGAGAGGGUGACCGGCCACAUGGGGACUGAGAUACGGCCCAGACUCCUACGGGAGGCAGCAGGGGGGAAUAUUGCACAAUGGGCGGAAGCCUGAUGCAGCAACGCCGCGUGCGGGAUGACGGCCUGCGGGUUGUAAACCGCUUUCGCCUGUGACGAAGCGUGAGUGACGGUAAUGGGUAAAGAAGCACCGGCUAACUACGUG
rnacentral:rRNA from 1 species